rnacentral:rRNA from 1 species
GACGAACGCUGGCGGCGUGCUUAACACAUGCAAGUCGAACGGAAGGGCCCUGCUUUUGUGGGGUUCUCGUGUGGCGCACGGGUGUGUAACACGCGAGUAUCAUGUCCCUGACAGUGGGAUAACUUCAGGAGAAAUGGGCGAACAUACGAUAGGAGUUCUUGCUCCACGUUGGUGGAUGGAAAGUGUCGGCGGUUGGGGAUGGUCUCGCGGCCUAUCAGCUUGUUGGUGGGGUAGUGGCUUACCAAGGCUUUGACGGGUAGCCGGCCUGGGAGGGUGACCGGGCACAUUGGGACUGAGAUACGGCCCAGACUCCUACGGGGGGCAACAGUGGGGAAUCUUGCACAAUGGGCCGAAGCGUGUGACAGCGACGUCGCGUGCGGAAUAACGGCUUUCGGGGUAUGAACAGCUUUCGCCUGUGACGAGGAGUGAGUGACGGUAAUGAGUAAAGAAGCAACGGCUAACUACGUG